ensembl:lncRNA
GCGAAUUCAUGGGCAGAAUACCCGAUCAGCCCCCCACAACUGGCUACAGGACAUCAAAUCACAACUCCAUUGUUAACUGGUUAAACCAGCCGGGUGGCCUUCGAGAGAAGUUGACGACCGAGUAGGAUCCUGCUGAACCAUUCAAUAAGGUUCAAUAAGCGGAUGCUUUAUGGCGGCCAUGUCCCCGCGUCUUACCCCGUCCACGGCGUUGACGGUGAAGUCGUAGCUGCUCUGCCCGUGCUCCCGGUCCAGGGCCAGGGAGGUGCAGAUCUCCCCCGUCUCCUUGUUGACGGAGAACUGUGAGGGGGGUGAGCUGUUGAGGCCGGAGCCCAGGGAGUAGCUGAUGGAGCCGAAGGAACCUCCGUCGGCGUCCGACGCCGUCACCUGCGGGAGGGAGAGAAAGGCGAUGGGUUAAACCGGGACGUACACAAGAUUCUCGUGACCUCAGCGUGCCUAAUCCUAAGCCGAGGCGGACUCCCUGUCCCGGUGAGCCACCGAGGUGAAAGGUCAUCCCAAAGUCCAGCUGUCCAACGGGGCCACAUAACCUCUGACCCUCGCGGCGAUGAGGAUCAUCC